UUUUGCAAUCGUCCUAAAAAAAGAGACGCGCCACGAAUCAUGUAGGCCUUUUUUUAGAUGGUGUUGGCAAAACCAAACUAUAAAUUAAAAGCACAAAGGGAUGGCUUCCCAAGAAUCUUUAACAUGCACAACACCCGUAAAACUAUUGGAGCAGUCAACGAUAAAAAUGAUAGGCAACACAACGAAGCGAUCAAAAUAACCAAGGUUUCCAACUUUGUACCCCCACAAACACUUGGGAAAGAGGAGGGGCGGUACAAACAACAUCAUUGAACAUUAUAUUUCAAACCGGGUCCGUUUUCCAUGAUGGCAACAUGAAACCUAGUGAAAUUCAACACAUAGGUAUAAAAGAGUUAUGCUACUCGUCAGUUGGCCGCAACAAAGCGGGGAGCCUGACAUAGCACGCACAUAAAUAACCACUCAUAUGCCGUCACGGUCACAGCCCAGCAAAGCCCUUCGCCUUUCCCCCAAACGAAGAAAAA
rnacentral:rRNA from 1 species